rnacentral:tRNA from 1 species
GGAGAGGUACCAAAGUGGUUGAAUGGGCCGCACUCGAAAUGCGGUAGGGGCGCGAGCUCCUCCAGGGUUCGAAUCCCUGCCUCUCCG